GACGAACGCUGGCGGCGUGCCUAAUACAUGCAAGUCGAACGAGAGCGACCGGUGCUUGCACUGGUCAAUCUAGUGGCGAACGGGUGAGUAACACGUGGGUAACCUGCCCAUCAGAGGGGGAUAACAUCCGGAAACGGAUGCUAAAACCGCAUAGGACAUCGAACCGCAUGGUUUGAUGAGGAAAAGAGGCGCAAGCUUCUGCUGUAGGAUGGACCCGCGGUGCAUUAGCUAGUUGGUGAGGUAACGGCUCACCAAGGCCGUGAUGCAUAGCCGACCUGAGAGGGUGAUCGGCCACAUUGGGACUGAGACACGGCCCAAACUCCUACGGGAGGCAGCAGUAGGGAAUCUUCCGCAAUGGACGCAAGUCUGACGGAGCAACGCCGCGUGAGUGAAGAAGGUUUUCGGAUCGUAAAACUCUGUUGUUAGAGAAGAACAAGUGCUAGAGUAACUGUUAGCGCCUUGACGGUAUCUAACCAGAAAGCCACGGCUAACUACGUG
rnacentral:rRNA from 1 species